GACGAACGCUGGCGGCGUGCUUAACACAUGCAAGUCGAACGGAAAGGCCUUUUCGGAGGUACUCGAGUGGCGAACGGGUGGGUAACACGUGGGUGAUCUGCCCUGCACUCUGGGAUAAGCCCGGGAAACUGGGUCUAAUACCGGAUAGGACCGCACUUUAGUGUGUGUGGUGGAAAGUUUUUUCGGUGUAGGAUGAGCCCGCGGCCUAUCAGCUUGUUGGUGGGGUAAUGGCCUACCAAGGCGGCGACGGGUAGCCGGACUGAGAGGUUGGUCGGCCACAUUGGGACUGAGAUACGGCCCAGACUCCUACGGGAGGCAGCAGUGGGGAAUAUUGCACAAUGGGCGCAAGCCUGAUGCAGCGACGCCGCGUGGGGGAUGACGGCCUUCGGGUUGUAAACUCCUUUCGCCAGGGACGAAGCGUUUUGUGACGGUACCUGGAGAAGAAGCACCGGCUAACUACGUG
rnacentral:rRNA from 1 species